UACGUAGGGUGCGAGCGUUAAUCGGAAUUACUGGGAGUAAAGCGUGCGAAGGCGGUUUUGUAAGUCUGUGGUGAAAGCCCCGGGCUCAACCUGGGAAUUGCGAUGGAGACUGCAAGGCUUGAAUCUGGCAGAGGGGGGUAGAAUUCCACGUGUAGCAGUGAAAUGCGUAGAGAUGUGGAGGAACACCGAUGGCGAAGGCAGCCUCCUGGGCCAGCACUGACGCUCAUGCACGAAAGCGUGGGGAGCAAACAGG
rnacentral:rRNA from 1 species